UACGGAGGGUGCAAGCGUUGUCCGGAAUCACUGGGCGUAAAGGGCGCGUAGGCGGCUCGGUAAGUAGGGGUGAAAUCCUGCGGCUCAACCACAGGGCUGCCUUCUAACUGUCGAGCUCGAGCACGGUAGAGGCAGAUGGAAUUCCCGGUGUAGCGGUGGAAUGCGUAGAGAGUCGGGAAGAACAUCAGUGGCGAAGGCGGUCUGCUGGGCCGUUGCUGACGCUGAGGCGCGACGAGCGUGGGGAGGCAAACAGG
rnacentral:rRNA from 1 species